CUUUGUUCUACUCAUUCCCUUUGUCUUUUGUGUUUCGAUUCAUCUGUAGAACGACUUUAGAGAAUUAUUUGUAAAUUAAUUUGAUUAUAUUUAUGCUAAGGAUGGACCUUAACAAAGGAAUAAGUGUGUAUAUAUAUAACUAUAUAUAUAUAUAUACGUAUAUAUAUACAUGAAUUUAGUUUUGUAGUCUCUGGUUUUUUUAUUUCAUACAAAAUUAUUGCAAUUGAGUAAAAUAACUACCCAAUUUGUACGGACCAUCAACAGCUUUUUGUCCUCUUCCUUUACUGAGGGUUUAUUGAUUCAUUCUUUGCAAUUGAUUUAAUCUUUGAAAUUUAUUUUGCAAGUCUAUUUGUCUUGCAAUUGAUGGUGUAAGUGGGUUUGUUUGGUUUGCAAUUUAAAUCAUUAAUUGUAUUUGGUUAAUUACUGUAGGAUUGGGUUUGUUGGUUUUGCAAUUUAAAUCAUUAAUUGCAUUUGAUUAAAUUACUGUAGGACUGGGUUUAUUGAUUUUGCAAUUUAAAUCAUUAAUUGCAUUUGAUUAAAUUACUGUAGGAGUGGGUUAUUUGUUUUAAGCUGUAAGUUGCAUGGUAAGGUAUCAAAAAAAAAAAAAAAAAAAAAUAAUAAUAAUAAUAGUAAUAGUAAUCCAGGCUGCAUUAUUGGUUGCAUGAAAUUUUUAAUACUUUUAUAAAAAUUGUUACUUUGUUUAAGUGGGUUUAUUUGUUAAAGUGGGUUUAAUAAGUUAUGUUAAUAAUUUCGGAUGAAGGUAAGGUUUAAUUAUCAUGUUUAUAGGUUUGUAGUUAAGAAGUUAUUUGAAUUGCAAGUUUCUUGUAUGAUAUUUAUAAUUUUUUAUUUUGCUAUAUCAAUUGUUACAGAUUACGGAAUGAUUAUAAUUAUACAUGUGAUUAUAUAUGUAUAUGAACUUAUGCAUACUUUGAUAUAAGUUUGCAUAGUAGGACCAUUGUCAGGAUAUGGUCUUAGAAGCACCAUUGUUAGGAUAUGGCUUGCUGAUACAUAUAUGGGCUGGCUAUUAAGUCUAGACCUAUACGUGUAGUCAUACCAUUGUCAGGAUAUGGUUAUGACUUUAUAUUGUGCCAUUGUCAGGAUAUGGCUAUAGUUACUUACAUAAAUAUAUUUUAAUUGGGUACCAUGAUACGAGCUUGAGAUCUCGGGAUCGAUGGUUAGGGUUGGCGUAUAUUGCCAGGUGAGAUGAGUAGCUGGAUAUAGGGAUGUGUGUGCACUGGUAGAAGAUGUACUUAUGACCACCUUGUGUGCGCUUGCAUGAGACCUACUAUCCGGUUGAGGCUGUCUUAUGAUCCAGUGAAAAUCUAUAGUGUGUAUACUUAUGUAUAUUGACUUAUGUAGUUAUUGCAUGAGUCAGACUAGGAUGGAUCGUUUAUCGGGGUUCUGUUUGGGAUGUAGUAGAAAGGGCUUGUUCGUGGGUUUUGACCUACCUUUGUUGUUAUCUUUUCAGGUCCUCAAUAGUUCCAGACGUAGAGUCAGUUCGUGCAGAGCAGAAGCCAGACUUCAUCACUCUUCCGGUGUCAUAGACACCUGAUCAACCUGUGUUUCGAAGUUAGGGGGUAUCACAAUGAUCGCCCUUGACUUGGGAACAUCCAUGGGAAUACAACCCUCAUUGAACAAGGGAUCUUGAGGGACAUUGGACCUCCUUGGACGUGAGGGCUUCGAUAUAUUCUUGGGUGUAGAAGGCCACACUGAUUGUAUGAACAGGCGAAGUAAUGAGACUCCAUUGCUAGAGACAUUCUCAGUGGUAGAGGCUUUACUAAUAGGUAGGGACCCCCUUGUUGGUGGUGAUCUCCUUGGUGGGUGGAGACCCACCCGUUUAUUUAGGCGCGGAAGAACCAGGCCUUAGUCUUCAGGAGACAGGGUUUGGUCUUGGGCGACCAGACUGUUGGGAUUUAUAUGCCCUAGCAUAGCAAAUUCCUGUUUGGAUUAAAGUGACAUAUGUUCCUGACGUUUCUGAAAUAUUUAUGUUUUAUACAAUUAGUGAAUUCAAUGUAUUAUAUUUCGAUUCA